rnacentral:rRNA from 1 species
UGGGCGUUUGAUCCUGGCUCAGAUUGAACGCUGGCGGCAUGCCUUACACAUGCAAGUCGAGCGGCAGCGCGGGGGCAACCCUGGCGGCGAGCGGCGUACGGGUGAGUAAUGCAUCGGAACGUGUCCUCUUGUGGGGGAUAACCAGUCGAAAGACUGGCUAAUACCGCAUGAGAUCGCAAGAUGAAAGCAGGGGACCCGCAAGGGCCUUGCGCGAGAGGAGCGGCCGAUGCCCGAUUAGCUAGUUGGCGGGGUAAAAGCCCACCAAGGCGACGAUCGGUAGCUGGUCUGAGAGGACGACCAGCCACACUGGGACUGAGACACGGCCCAGACUCCUACGGGAGGCAGCAGUGGGGAAUUUUGGACAAUGGGGGCAACCCUGAUCCAGCCAUGCCGCGUGUGUGAAGAAGGCCUUCGGGUUGUAAAGCUCUUUCAGCCGGAACGAAACGGUCACGGCUAAUACCUGUGAUCACUGACGGUACCGGAAGAAGAAGCACCGGCUAACUACGUGCCAGCAGCCGCGGUAA